CGUGUCAGCCCUGUUUACCUGGUGAUCACUGUGCAGAGGUGGGGCUCUCCUCCCCGUCUGGGCCCUGCGACCCUGGCUUCUACUGCACAGGAGGAUCCACGACAGCCACACCUUGGGGUAAUAUCACAGUUGCAGGAGAUUUCACAUCCCCACGUCCUGGCAAUACAAUCCUGGGUCUGUUCCAUGGUGAUGUGUGUCCUGCGGGCCACUAUUGUCCUCGAGGGAGUUCAAAGCCAAGCCCCUGUCCUCCAGGCACUUUCUUGGGGAAGUCUGCAGCUGAGUCAGAAGCUGACUGUGAAGCUUGUUACCCUGGUUCCUUCUGCCCCUCCUGGGCUCAGAUCUCUGCUGACCUCCUGUGCCCCGCGGGGUGGUUCUGUC